rnacentral:rRNA from 1 species
GUGCCAGCCGCCGCGGUAAUACCGGCAGCUCAAGUGAUGUCCCCUAUUAUUGGGCCUAAAGCGUCCGUAGCCGGCCAACCAAGUCUCCCGGGAAAUCCACCCGCCCAACGGGUGGGCGUCCGGUAGAAACUGGCCGGCUUGAAACCGGAAGGCUCAGAGAGUACGUCCGGGGUAGGAGUGAAAUCCCGUAAUCCCGGACGGACUACCGAUGGCGAAAGCACUCUGAGAAGACGGCUUCGACAGUGAGGGACGAAAGCUCGGGUCUCAAACCGGAUUAGAAACCCCGUAGUCC